UCCCGGAGCGGCCGCGAGGUCGUCAAGGGCGGCAUCGAGCUCAAGGACUCGGUACGUGGGCCGGGGUAGGGUUUCGCUCUCAUUAACUAAGAUCGGGCUGACCGUUCGUCCCGUGCUUCUCGUUUCUUGUGUGCAGGCUGCGGCUCCCCGUGGUGCUCCUCUCAUGCUCCCUCUUCUUCCUCGCCGGCUUCCUCGGCUCCCUCCUCUUCACCCAGCAACGACUCACGCGGCCGCCCCGCAGAUUCGUUUCGUCGCCCGCGCGCGGGUGGGCCUCUGAUCUGGGGUGGUUCUGGUGGUUGUUUCGGUGGCAGGAUCCGCAGGGCGAGGAGGACCCGGAGCGGCCGCUGCGGAGGUAGCGGGUGAUGGAGGCCGUCUUGCCGGAGAUGUCGUACGGGGAGUCCGGCGACCCCGCGCCCUCCUUGAUCCCUUACCAGGUCACGCCUCGUCCCGAUUCCCUUCGUCGCAUUGCUUGCCACUUUAUUCUUAGGGAAUUCAGUUUAGGCUUGCGGUUUCAGUGGCCACUAAUUAGCAUUGGGGGCGAUGUAAGAUGGCGUUCGUGAAAUUUUUGGUGAUGGUGAGCGCUGCACUUGGUGGCGACGUGCAAAUUUGCUGUCACUGUGGCAUCUUCUGUCGGUCACUUGCAGACUGCAGUUGAGUGAUUUGUCGGUGCAAAGUACAUCCGAUUUGUAAUAGUACUGUAUCUACUUUCUGUACACCGGAUUAGUGUGAAUGGUUUGCUAUGUAGGAGUACAUUUUUUGUGGGCAACUCAACUGGCGGUUGUUAGCUUAGCUCCCAUGCAAUUAUCGUGGGCUUGGGUGUACUCAACUGUAGGCUGUACAUGCCUAACGAAUAUCGUUAGGCGUGUGGAAUGCCGGUCGUCCGCUGUCCAUUUGGGCUUCAGAUUUCAGGAGAUGGGAUUGCAAUUUGGGGGAGUGGCCGUGGGGUCGGGCUAGGUCCUGACACGCUUAUGAUAAUGUAUGACUCAGCUAUUGUCAAGUCAACAAGGGCAUCACAAUCUAAAUUAGGUUGCUGCUUAUUCAAUCAUUACAGUGAUGCUACACUGAAGCUAGUUAGCCAAACUUUGAUCCGGUCUUGAUCUACUGAUGAUUGAACUGCGCUAUGUUUGUAGUGCAAUAAACUCAAUUGUGCCCUUCUUUCAGACUGUUUUAGCUAUUUAGCUUAGUUGGCCAGAUUCAAGUUUCAGAUUUGGAAGCUGUUCAAUGGGUUCAGGUUCAGGUUCAGUUGGAAGCUGUUCUUUGGGGUAUCGGGACAGCACUUGGUGAGCUCCCUCCUUAUUUUAUAUCACGAGUCGGUAAUUGUGCAGUUCAUUUUAUUCUGAAGUAAUUGUGAUAUCCUGUUAGAUACUUUACAGCUGUACAUUAUAUAUUAUAUUCAAUCUAUGUGAAGAUAAUAAUAAUAUUACUUCUUUUUAUAUUGUUUCUUAACUGAUUUCCCUUGAACACUAUCUAUAGCGUCUACUUUUUAUUAUACUAUGUACCAUGCAUGCCAUCAUUAUCAUAUCCAUUUAGCUUUUGACUUGUGCCCUUCCGUAGGUACCUAAGUUCAGCAGCUUGAUUAAUGCUGUGCUGACACAUUGUUGUAGUAUUUCAUGGUUAUUGUUUAUUUUCCUCCUAUAAAAAGAUUGAAACUCUUAAUAAUCUAAGAAAACGGUACUCAUUUCAUUCUCAGUAAUGGGAUGUAAUACAACUUUUAGGGCCUCCUUGUGGGUAAACAGUACUGGUUUCUUUCUAAGUAAUUGGAUAUAAUACAACUUCUGAGACUAUUAUAUUAGGAAAUGUCGAUUUAAUAUUUUUCUUGUCCAACUUGUAACCGGUUUUAAUAAGCAGUUAAAAUACCGAGUCGCUUGGCUUUGUGGGUUCAACACAUUUCAACAUGAAGUAUGCUACAUGCUCCUCGUCACGUGUAUGCUCAUCUAAUUACAGUGGCAUUUGAACUAGUUUUGAAACUGAUUAGAUGGAUGUGUGAAGUGUUUAUUCCUUCCUUAUAAAGCUGGCAUAUUGUCUUGAAACUGAUCCACUUAAGCAUGUAUUAAAACUGAUCACAUCUUAUUAAGUGCACCAUAAUUCAUAUUUUGUUGGCCAUUUUUAGAUCUGCUUUGAUGCUUACAUUAGUGUUGCCAUUUCAGUACAAUCUAAUGCUGGAAGCAUUUAUGUUCACUCUUUUACAGGAGCUCUAGGCCUAUGCAAUUUGAAGUUUGAAGCACUUGAAACCAAGAGCAAAGCAGUGAAGCCCUAGUCAACAAAGAUAUGUUUGAUCAGUUUAACUAUAGUACAAUGUAAAUUGUAAUAUUGUAACAGAUUAUAAUAUAUUAAUUUAAUGUUAUUUGAUGAAUUAUUUUUGUUCUGGUCUGUUUGAAAUAGUAAUUAUGUAUGUUGAAAAAAUUAUUUGAGCAAUUUGAAAUUUUGAAAGCUUGACUAGUAGGAACCAAUGAAAAUCAUUUGAGCAAUUUGAAAUUUUUGACAUGUGGGACUGAUGUAUGAAAUUAUGACAA
rnacentral:lncRNA from 1 species